rnacentral:rRNA from 1 species
UACGUAGGGGGCAAGCGUUAUCCGGAUUUACUGGGUGUAAAGGGAGCGUAGACGGCGAUGCAAGUCUGAAGUGAAAGGCGGGGGCCCAACCCCCGGACUGCUUUGGAAACUGUAUGGCUGGAGUGCAGGAGAGGUAAGUGGAAUUCCUAGUGUAGCGGUGAAAUGCGUAGAUAUUAGGAGGAACACCAGUGGCGAAGGCGGCUUACUGGACUGCAACUGACGUUGAGGCCCGAAAGCGUGGGGAGCAAACAGG